UACAGAGGUCCCAAGCGUUGUUCGGAUUCAUUGGGCGUAAAGGGUGCGUAGGCGGCGCGGUAAGUCGGGUGUGAAAUCUCGGAGCUUAACUCCGAAACUGCAUUCGAUACUGCCGUGCUUGAGGACUGGAGAGGAGACUGGAAUUUACGGUGUAGCGGUGAAAUGCGUAGAUAAUCGUAAGGAAGACCAGUGGCGAAGGCGGGUCUCUGGACAGUUCCUGACGUGAGGCACGAAGGCCAGGGGAGCAAACGGG
rnacentral:rRNA from 1 species